CUCUUUCCUCCUUCCCCUCUCUUCCUCCUCCGUCUCCGCCCGGCUACCCCAUCCCGGGCCCCGCUCGGAUCCCCCAGCGGUCCCGCCUCCUCGCUGCCGCGCAGGCGCGGCCGCCCCCGUGGAGUCGCGCGGCGACACCGGCGUCACUGGGGAUCACGUAGUCUGAAGACUCAAGUUUGCUAAGAUGCAGAGCGGGCUGGAAUGGAUAAUCAUGCAGUGUUUGUGUACAAGUUUUGAAGACUUAGAUGGAAAGCAGGACUUGAAAUAUGCAAGAUGCUUCCUGCUCAAGUCUUCCUCCAGUUACGUGAGCUCCAGAGGAGAAUCCUGGAUUUGUACAUUUGGAAGGCAGCAGGAUCAGAACUUGACCCGUGUAAUUUGACUCCGAAGCCUGUUACAUACUCUGAAUUUCUCUUCAGUCUACUCGUCAGCAGUGCGUGGAGACAGGCCUCCAUGGACCCCGUGCUACCGCUUUCUCUCCCCACCACAGAUACUAGCUGUCAGAUAUCACCAUCCUUGCAGCUUUUUGGUCAGCUCUUCACAAUUGGCCCCCAAGAGCCAUGACAUAAGAAUAUUGAAUUUUCCUGAUGUAAGAACGUGGACUGCGGCAGGCUGGGUCUGAGUGCAGCACUUUAUCUCUGUGUGGCUUUGUUGUCCUCUCCUUGUCCAUAAUAACUUGAGCAAGCACUACCCACUAUCCUCCACUGUGUUCAGCACAAGACAUGGAUGCUUCCUGAAUGGAUGGAAAGAGAGGCAAAGAGAAGCAUGCUGGAAAAUCAG